UAGAACUUAUCAUCCUGUGGCCACUGCUC
rnacentral:piRNA from 1 species